GAUGAACGCUGGCGGCGUGCCUAAUACAUGCAAGUCGAGCGAACAGACGAGGAGCUUGCUCCUCUGACGUUGGCGGCGGACGGGUGAGUAACACGUGGAUAACCUACCUCUAAGACGGGGAUAACUUCGGGAAACCGGAGCUAAUACCGGCUCAUAUAUUGAACCGCAUGGAUCAAUAGUUAAAGACAGUUUUGCUGACACUUAGAGAUGGAUCCGCGCCGCAUUAGCUAGUUGGUAAGGUAACGGCUUACCAAGGCAACGAUGCGUAGCCGACCUGAGAGGAUGAUCGGCCACACUGGAACUGAGACACGGUCCAGACUCCUACGGGAGGCAGCAGUAGGGAAUCUUCCACAAUGGGCGCAAGCCUGACGGAGCAACGCCGCGUGAGUGAUGAAGGUCUUCGGAUCGUAAAGCUCUUUUAUUAGGGAAGAACAAAUGUGUAAGUAACUAUGCACGUCUUGACGGUACCUAAUCAGAAAGCCCCGGCUAACUUCGUG
rnacentral:rRNA from 1 species